CCUACGGGAGGCAGCAGUGAGGAAUAUUGGUCAAUGGACGCAAGUCUGAACCAGCCAUGCCGCGUGCAGGAAGACGGCUCUAUGAGUUGUAAACUGCUUUUGUACGAGGGUAAACGCAGAUACGCGUAUCUGUCUGAAAGUAUCGUACGAAUAAGCAUAGGCUAACUCCGUGCCAGCAGCCGCGGUACUACGGGGGAUGCAAGCGUUAUCCGGGUUUAUUGGGUUUAAAGGGUGCGUAGGCUGUGAGGUAAGUCAGCGGUGAAAUUCCCCCGCGCACCGGGGUGAAGUGCCAUUGAGACUGGCUUGCUUGAAUGCGGAGGCGGUGGGAGGAAUGUGUGGGGUAGCGGUGAAAUGCAUAGAUAUCACACAGAACACCGAUUGCGAAGGCAUCUCACGAAUCCGCGAUUGACGCUGAUGCACGAAAGCGUGGGUAUCAAACAGGAUUAGAUACCCCAGUAGUC
rnacentral:rRNA from 1 species